UGGUCUCAUUUUCAUGUCUUGUGUUCCAG
rnacentral:piRNA from 1 species